rnacentral:rRNA from 1 species
UACGUAGGGUGCAAGCGUUAAUCGGAAUUACUGGGCGUAAAGCGUGCGCAGGCGGUUGUGCAAGACCGAUGUGAAAUCCUCGGGCUUAACCUGGGAAUGGCAUUGGUGACUGCACGGCUAGAGUGUGUCAGAGGGGGGUAGAAUUCCACGUGUAGCAGUGAAAUGCGUAGAGAUGUGGAGGAAUACCGAUGGCGAAGGCAGCCCCCUGGGAUAACACUGACGCUCAUGCACGAAAGCGUGGGGAGCAAACAGG